rnacentral:tRNA from 1 species
GCCUGACUGGCUCAGUUGGUAGAGCACAUGGCUUGUAAUCUCAGGGUCAUGAGCUCAAGCCCCAUGUUGGGCA